rnacentral:lncRNA from 1 species
CUGAGUUUCCUCCUCCAUAAAAUGAGAUGGCUAGACUUUGGAGCUUAAUUUAGCUAGAAGAGUCUAAGCCUCCGCAGUGGCUGCAGGAAGCACAUCCCUGAGAACUUGGCACUGAGUGAUGAAAGCAAGACAAAGACCAUAGAGCCAUUUGGUGCAUCCCUGCUGCUGUCACUCCAUAUCCUGGACUUGCAGUGAAAGGAGUUUGAAGCCUCCGUCCUAGAUGCGCAUCCGUUUGGGAUGCUUCUCUCAUCGAAGG